rnacentral:ncRNA from 1 species
CUAAGGGGCGGCGCAAGCCUGAGACAUCCUCGGAUGAACCCUUUGAACCUGAUCCGGAUAGUACCGGCGUAGGGAUAGGA